rnacentral:rRNA from 1 species
GCAUAUAAGUAAGCGGAGGACUUGAAACCAAACAGGAUUCCUUCAGUAACGGCGAGUGAACAGGGAGUAGCUCAGCAUGGAAAUUGGGGCUGGUAGCCUUGAGUUGUAGUCUGGAGAUGCGUUGCCAAUGGGGGUGCAGAUGUAAGCCUCUUGGAAAAGAGCACUAAUGAGGGUGACAGUCCUGUUUGCCAUCUGUCGUCUUCCAUGCACGGCGUGCUUUCUACGAGUCACGUUCCUUGGGCUUGGAGCGCCAAUGUGGUGGUAAUUUUCACCCCAAGCUAAAUACAUGUUCAGGACCGACAGCAAACAAGUACCAUGAGGGAAAGGUGAAAAGGUCUUUGAGAAGAGUGUUAAAAGUGCAUGAAUUUGCUGAAUGUAAGUGAAUGGAACCGUUUGUCUGGGUAAGAUUGCCACACUUGUCUGUGACGUGGUGCCUGAUUUCGCAAGUAUUGCAGUGCUGCGUUGUUUGUGUAUGUGUGGUGUUUCUUGCCUUGCUAGUCACUGUCAGUGUGCAACUGUGCAUGAAAUCAAGGAUUUGCGUGUUCACUUGUGGUGGCCAUGCAUGUCUUGAGUGUGCACACUUGUACAUUGCUUGGUGUGUGCCGGGGUGGAGUGUUGCAGGCUGCUCUUUGUUGCUGAGAAACUGUUCUCUUCAUGAGGUGUGCGCUUGGGACAUAUUCUUGUUUGCGCCAACGUUGACUAAAUGGCUCUAUUCGACCCGUCUUGAA